rnacentral:rRNA from 1 species
AGCAGCCGCGGUAAUUCCAGCUCCAAUAGCGUAUAUUAAAGUUGUUGCAGUUAAAAAGCUCGUAGUUGAAUUUCGGGAUUGACGUGAUGGUCGUGCCUUAAGGGGUAUGAACUGUCGCAGUUGAUUUCUCACCUUCUGGAGAAGCAUGAUGUCCUUAAUUGGGUGUCAUGUGGAACCAGGACCUUUACCUUGAAAAAAUUUAGAGUGUUUAAAGCAGGCAUUUUGCUCGAAUACAUUAGCAUGGAAUAAUAGAAUAGGACGGCAUGGUUCUAUUUUGUUGGUUUCUAGGAUCACCGUAAUGAUUAAUAGGGAUAGUUGGGGGCAUUAGUAUUCAAUUGUCAGAGGUGAAAUUCUUGGAUUAUUGGAAGACUAACUACUGCGAAAGCAUUUGCCAAGGAUGUUUUCAUUAAUCAAGAACGAAAGUUAGGGGAUCGAAGACGAUCAGAUACCGUCGUAGUCUUAACCAUAAACUAUGCCGACUAGGAAUCAGACGAUGUUAAUUUUUUAAUGACUCGUUUGG